GGAUAUGGAGAGAAGAGCAACCUCCCCUACACAUUAUUGCUUAGAUGAGCCGCCAGAGUGCUGGCAUGUUCUGAAGAAGGCAGCAGAGAGGCGUGAGUGGUUGCAGAGGGAGCCCCGCGCCGAGCUGUCCCGGGGGCUCGAGACAGCGUCUCAUCUAGAUGCCCUGGAACUCGCCCAGCUUUGCUUCAUGUGUUCCAAGCUCAUUUUGCUUUUCUCUGCUCCCAGUUCCCAGGGAAGAACAUGUAGCCCCAAGGAUCAUGGCUCCACCUGUUAGAGGACCAACCAGAAGCUGAGACCAUCAAUCCUGCUGCUGGUCCUAGUUUCAGAUUCCUAGAAGAUAGAAUCUGAUUCCUGCAGCUUGAGUCUUCCUUGCUCUAAUCAGCUCUGGGUGGAGUUUUAUCUUCAAGACGAAAUCAUCACUGGUUUUUGUACUCAUUGGAUCGGUGUGGAUUGAGCAUCAUCGGAUCCUUGUAUUGAGCGGACGUGUUUGCAGAUCUAGGUCGAGACAUAUGAAGGAUGCAGUGAAAUCACUGCCAUCAGGAAACCCUGAGAGGCAAGAGGAAACAGAGAAGGCUGCACAGGUAUGAAUUACAGGGUGGGAGUGAUGCCAUCAAGAUGGUGCCAUGGGGAGUUACUGAUUUCAUUCCCCCCCACAGAACAACAACUAUUCCUGGACAAGACAUGACUGAGAAAAUCCUAGAACACAGGGCUGAGACAGACCACACAAGAAGGGUAAGACGAGCAGCUACACACUGACCACAUUGCCCCUCCCCAGGCUGGUGCAGCACCACCCCAGGAGGGCUCCUCCCAUGAGAAAAGAAGGCCCAGGGUGGACAUCCAGCUGCCCCAGCAAUGUGGGUAACUUCUUGGGAGUCCCCAUUCAGAAUCCGAUUGUGAUGGAGAAGAGGCGAGGGGUUUGAACAACUAACAAACACUUGGAUCUUGGCCAACUGAGUUCCUACCUGCAGUGCCCAAGUAGAAGUCUUAACCACUAGCUUCAUUCAUCUGCUGAGCUGAGGUGGUGGCAACUCAAUGGGGUACAGGUCUGCCUGAUUUGGGGCCUCAGAGGAAAAGCUCAAGCUGAGCCUGGCCCCUAUACCCCUAAGCAGGGGAGCUAACUCAUGGCCCUGCUCAACCUGGAAGCCUCAGCACCUGAGCAGGGGGCCUGGCCAGGGGUUCUGUCCAGCUGGGGUCACUGGCUGGUCUCUGCAAACAGUUUGAUAGACAGGACUGCCUCCUUAGUCCCCAGAUGGGUCUUAUCAGCCUUGGGGCCUUUUCUGUGGCUCCCCUGCCUGCCCCGUGCAGAGAAACUAAGCUGUAGCCCUACCCACUGCUGCACACAGCCUCUAAGCAGCGUUCCUGGGAAUCUUGGUAGCAUACCCUGCAGCCCUGACUACAGUGGUAUUUGAACAGAGAACAUGACCGGCAGCUUUGCAUCUGCAGAGUCAAGAUGGUGACCCAUCUUCUCCAGGGAGCUUAGCACACAGGUCUGUCUAUUUGAUUCCCAAACAAAGCCCUUGCUGGGCCAGGGGCCUAUUUUGCAGCUUGACUGGGCAGAGCCCCACCCAACAAGGAACCCUAACCAGAGUUCCCAGGAAUCUGUGUAGCCCAUCUUGCACCUCCAGUUACACUGCCACCAAGAACCUGGUCGGUGGUCCUACCCAUCUGCAGAACUGGGACAGUGGCUACUGCGGCCAGGGACUUGGUACCAAGUUCUGCCUAAUUUGACCUACAAAUAAGAGCCUUGCCAGCCUUAGAGCCUACAAAGGGCCCUGUCUGGGCAGAAAAACUAAUUUGCAGGAACUCACUUCUGACUACAGCCUGCCAACCAGGGGACCUAAACAGAGCACAUAGGAAGCUGUGGAGCCCAUUUAACAGCCUUGCUUACAAAGCAAAUCCCAGGGUUAUCCCCAUCUGCAGCACAAAAGGGUGGCCCUGUCAGGCAAGGAAAUUCAGUACCUAGUCUCGCCUAGUUCAAUUCUCCAAACAAUGAGUCAUCCAGACCUUGAUGCCUUUUUCUGCUGCCCCAUCAGGAAAGGGACGCUAAUUCAUAGGCCUCUCUACUGCUGAGUAUAAUAUAUACCCAGUCCCAAUUAGAAAGCCUGACCAAAGAACCCAGGAAAUAGCUGAGCCCAAAUAGACCCUGACAGCAAGCUCCACCUGCCAAGGACGUUACAGACUGACACAUGCAGAAAACCAAUUAAGUGGUCUGGUAAAGUCUGGAAGAGGAGACUACUUACUCAGCAUAAGAAAUCAAGGAUCACAAAAAAUGGUAAAUAUGACACCACCAAAGGAAACUAAUAAAGCUCUUAUAACUGACUGUAAGAAAUGGAGACGUAUGAACUGUCAAAGAAUUUGGAAUAAACCUCUUUAAAAAAGUUUACUGAACUACAAGCACACAAAGACAACUAAAUGAAAUAAUUAGGAAAACAAUUCAUGAACCAAAGUUCAACCAACAAAUCCCAGAGGAAAAGUAAACUACAGUAGAAUUCAAUAGAGAGCUUGAACAGUAGAAUCAGUGAUCAAGCAGACAGGGCAUUUGGAAUUACCCAGUCAGAGAAGCAAGAGAAAAGAAUGAAGAAGGGUGAAGAAAGCCUACAGGAUAAAUGGGAUAAAAUUAAAAGAAAAAACAUCCAUGUUAUGGGAAUCCCAGAAGGAGAAGAAAAAAGGAAAGUAUAUUUAAAGUGAUAAUGGUUGGAAAUUUCCCAAACCUGGAGAGAGACCAUGAGGCCUAAAGGAUCCAAAAUAGGUUGAACCCCAACAGGACUACACUGGGACACAUAAUUAAAUUGUCAAAUACAAAGAAUUUUGAAAGCAGAGAGGGAAUUUACAUAAACGGGAAUCUCCAUAAGACUAUAGGUGCAUUUUUCAGUAGCAGCGUUCAGGCCAGGAGUGGGUGGGAUGAUACAUUUAAAACACUGAAAGGAAGACACUGUUAACCAAGAAUUAUUCAAAAAUGAAAGAUAUAAUAACUUUCCUGAACAAACGAAAGGUGAGCGAGUUCAUCACCUCUAGAC